UAUAGGCUGACUGCGGAGGA
rnacentral:rRNA from 1 species